GAAGCCACCCCUCCAGCCCCCACAACAUACAACAACAACAACAUUCAAUUAUAGCAUCACGACAGGCAACCCACCUACAUUGCAAGGUUCCCGAAGAACAUGCGGUGAACAUGAAUGACAUCUCGGUGGGAGACGGUGUUGGAGACCCAGCCAGUGAGGAGAGUAUGGAUGUAUCAGAAACCAGCAACAGCAGUGGAACAUUAGCCAACCAAUCGCCACUUUCAGAUCACAUUCCCAACACCAUUUACAGUUUUGAACCUGGUGUUCGUGAUCCUCUACGAUUCCCUAUGCAGAACGGGCGGCUUGUAGGUGCAGCUGUGGAGGGUGGAAUCUCGCCUUUAGGAGGAGGGGGUGCUGCAGCUGCUGCAGCACCUCAUCGAGGACAUAAACCUUCCCCUUUCAAUCUCUCUCACCUUGAAUACACUCUCCCAGAUACUGAAAUUUAUGAGCCUGAAACAGUGGACUUCCCCAACUCGCCUACUGCUCUACGAUAUAUGGUACAUCCUGAUAAUGACUGUACUGGUGUGCGUUUGGCAGAAAGAGAGGAAACCACACAACCAUCUGUUACACCCACAGAAGAAGAGCGAUCCGUAUACACUGCUGUAGUCUCACCACCCACUGGUCAGGUCACUCUCAGGAAAGAACGUCCAUCCAGCCUUGAGGUAAAUCGCAAAAAACGUCUUACAGUGACUGAAGAAUUACUAACUGUGGCAGUUGAUGAUGACCAGCACUCCAUAUCUUCUCUCAGUCUACACAGUGAUGAUGAUGAUGAUGAUGCUCAGAUGCUCUCUCAUGAUGAAUUUACAGACAUGCUCACACCAGAUGACAUUGAUACUCCAGAUGAGUUGGAAGAGUCCAUAAUGGAAAGACUUGGACCUCAGCCCAGGAUAGACCCACUGCCUGAAUACACAGCAACACAGGAAGCCACUGAAGAAAGGUCAUGGCGAUCUGUGGUCAUCUCUGGGAUUGAGAGACGAAUUGAUAUGAAAGUAAUUGAGCCAUAUAAGAAGGUGCUAAGUCAUGGAGGUUAUCUCUCUGGAAGCAAUGAAGCCGUCAUAGUCUUUUCUGCAUGUUUCUUACCCGACAGGUCACGCAAAGAUUAUGAUUAUGUUAUGGACAAUCUUUUCAUGUAUGUAUUAACGACUCUAGACCAACUGAUUGCCGAAGACUAUGUUUUGGUCUACCUACAUGGUGCCACAACACGAGGAAACAUGCCAUCAUUUGCGUGGCUCAAACGAUGUUAUCAGAUGAUUGAUCGACGGCUACGUAAAAACUUACAAGGCCUGUACUUAGUCCAUCCUACAUUUUGGGUCAAGACAGUAGUAGUUAUGACAAGACCCUUUGUGAGUGCAAAGUUUGCCCGAAAGCUAAGAUUUGUGAACAGCUUGAAGGAACUGUCCAGUCUCAUCCCCAUGGACCAAGUGUGCAUCCCUGACCGUGUCAAACAGUACGAUGAAAUACGAGAAAGUUUACUUGAAAAGGCAUGAGUAGUUUUCAGGUGGGGAAGGAGAUCGGAGACAUUGUGGUCACUGUCGCUUGCAUCUGGGCUCUGCACAAGAAGGUGCUUUAGCACACUUGGUGGAGUUCAGAUGAGACAUUUAUGGAAGAUUUCUAUCCUGUUGUGGUAUAUGGUAUUUAUAAGAUCUACCUGGCCAAUACUCUUCAGCAAUGCACAGCUACUGUAGCAAUUAAGGAGCAACCCAAAGACUUGGGAACCUGUUCUACUUAAGCAUAUAUCAGCAGUUGGAUUUCCAUUUUGUGUGUUGCCAACUCUAUUGUAAGGUUAAAGUGCAGAGAGAACUAUACAAAAUAAGAAAAAUAUAUCUAUAAUACUUGUACAGUACUGUGAAUAUAAAACACAACUUGAGAAGUAAUCUGAAAUUAGUUAUUAAAGUGUUGCAUCGAAAAUACAUGUACUAAAGACUUGUAGAAGUAUACAGUACUCAUUUCUCAUGCUUCAGAUCAAAUUGUUGUCCUUACACUAAAGGUUGGGAUUCUAUGACAAAUCAACCAUUUAUUCAUGGCGAGUCGGUUCUUGUCAGAGCACAAAAUGGACAAUGUUAAAGUCUCUAGCAGCUGAAGCUUUAUGGAUCAUUUAGGACAAGUGUUAUAAUGGUGGUGCUCAUGUGUGCAUUAUUUAAAUUUAUAUUUGUUAUAAUAAAAAGAAGUCUCUUAUUCUUGGGUAAUGAGAGACUAAUGUGAAUUGGUCUGUGGAUGUAAUGUACCCCACCAAAAAACCUGUCAAAUAGUUAUCUGUUAAUAUAAAAAUAUGUAGAGACGUGGUUUGUCUCGUACAUGUUGAAUGUGCUGUAAAUUAGAAUGUUGAACUCUGCAGAUAGAAAUGGCUUUUUCCAACACAGAUACAUGCUGCAUACUUGUGGGCUCAACAACAUUGAUUACAUAAUUAUGUAAAUGUUAUUACUAUGUAUACAGUACAUAAAAGUAAAUAUAUACACAUAUAUUCAGAUAUGAAAUUUAUAACAAUUUCUUAUAAUGUGGAGAACAGAAGUUCCUACUGGUAGAAAAUGGCAAGCAGACACCAAGUGACAUUCAGAAAUAGAUCAUCAUUACCUAAAUACCACAGGGGAAAACACCAACUUUACAUGCAUAAAUUGUGAACAAACAGAAUUUGAUGGGGUAUGCAUGUAUGCUUAGUGAAUAACAGAUGUGUGCAUUAAGCAUGUGUUAAGAGUCAAAUUAUUAAUACAGUACAUGAAAUAUUGUAGCCUUGGUAAUAUAUAAUGUAAUGCUUGUCAUCACUGCAGGUGAUUGGUAACCUAUAUUUAAAAUAUUAAGUUACAACUACACACACACUUCAUUUAAGUUGCUCAGAGCAAAACUAAAGGCAGAAACAUUUAAUUAUAGUGUAUUCAACGUCCUCCAGAACUAUGGCAAUAAUUUCACGUAUGUAAUUAUGACUAUGGCAUACUCCUCCUUUGUAUUACAGUGCAGGUAUCUUGUUUUAUUAAGGCUUCAGUUGCAGUUUGAGUGCAAAAUACACUGUACAGUUACUAAUAUAAAUGCAUAUUACCACUAUACUUUACGAUAUUUUGUCAUAUUUAGUAUUAAAUAGUAAAGUAUUAUUUACUUUAUUUUGUCAUACGUAACUUGUGUUAUUCCUUGGUGGGAAAAUUUAAUGUUAACAUUAGGUCAAUUGUGGAAUAAAUUAAUGCCAAUAAUGUCCUUGGUUCCUUGGAUAUUAUUUAAUUUGUAUAACAAUCACAAACUACAUCCUACCUUAUGUAUUGUUACUUAUUACAAUACAAUUUAUAAAAUGUUAUUCCAUUAAGUCAAACUAAAAAUUUAAUAAAUAAUCAGGCAGUGAUAAUACCUAACCCCUUCAGUCUUUCUUAGGCUACAAGUGAAACUAAUCCUUAGAACUGACAUACUGUACAUACUGUAUUUACUUGUACAGUAUUAACAGUUAAGAAUUAUGGAUUGUUAUAUAUAAAUAUUCUAAAUAAUUCUAGGAAUAUAUUGAAGGAAAGCUUGGAAUGAACUGAACUAAAAAUGUUAUCCCACUUUACAAAAAUUAUUUGUUCUCGCUAGAGAUAAAAAUGUAGUCGGGUGCAAAUCGAUCUGGAUAAAGAGGUGGUGUUGGCUUAUAUUUCAAAUGUACCUUCUUGGCUGUAAGUAGGUGGAUUAUCUGAACCUGGAAGUGGGGGGGUGCAAGUUUCAAUUGUUACUAGAGUAUUCCAAACAUUAGUAACGUACAGGCAGAUCUCACUAAACAAAUGAGUCUCCUGAAAACUCUUAAAUUAUUAAAUAUUUGGGAAAUGAAACCCAUUUUUUCCAUCAAAUGCCAUGGUUAAAGCUUAAAUACGUACCAGACUCUGAAUUUUCUAUUGUUGAACAAUAAACCAUGGAAUUCUCAUAAUAAAGUAAUAAAAUGUCAAGUGUGUGUGUGCAUGUAAUAAUAGUGAGAUUCGACUAAUUGUAGUUCAGCUACAAAUAACCACAGGAGCUGCGUCCCUUGCCAGAAACACGUUAAAUGAACAGUCAAUUAAAAUGUUCAGGCUAGCCAGUCAUGCUAUCGAGCUAGACAGUCAAGCUACGUGGGCUAUCAGACUUGACGGACUACUAGGCAAUAUAAACAUGUUGCACAUUAAUAUCCUGUUUGAUUCCACCCACCCAAGUAUAUAUUGCCUGCCAUUGAAUAAUUUAUCACAAGCCUAAAAUUAAUGCACGAGUCACCAUACUUGUAAAUAUUUAAAUGAGUAAGGCAAAUACAGUAUUGGGAACAACCCAUUUCAAUUUAUCACACCAGUUUCCCCAAUCCCUCCCCACUUUGAUAAGGAAGAAUUCCCCGAGACCUGGAACUUCAAGAACAAGAAGUCAUAGAUUUAAACUAAUUAAAGCUGCCAAAGAAAUAAGAAAAUUCAAUUUCGCAGAGUGGUAGACGGUUGCAACAAGUUAGGCGAGGUGGUAGAGGCCAAAACCGUCGGUAAUUUAAGUGUUACAUGACAGAGUACUGGGAAGACGGGACUCCAGGAGCGUAGCUCUUGUCCUGUACCUACACUUCGUAAUUACCUAGGCUGAACAUGAUUCUCGCUUGUGGGUCACCGAGGACAAAUGACACCUGCCUCUCCACAACAGUGUCAUUGCCCCGGUAGCUCCCACAACUACAUGCCAGCACCUACAGCUUGACAACCAUUCUCUGACACACUAGAGGAAAUAUUUAGGGAUGACCAGCAAGAAGCACAAGUUGUUAAAGAUCAGAGUAGAUGAAAACUGGCACAGGCGGAUAACAAUAGUGGCGAGCUUGGAAUGAACUAACGUGCAAACAGGUUGCAGAUACUGUAGUUGUAAAAGUGAGGAGCCAUGUCACAGCCAAAAGCCACCAUAUAAUUGAAAGUGGUAAUUUUUUAAGAUUAAAAUAAUUGGAGUUUUAAAGUACUGAAUACAUUAAAAACAAAUAUUUGUUGUGUAAAAUUUGUUAAGUGAGGUUUGCCUGUAGUAGUAUCCAGUGAAUUACUGUACUAUCACCAAGAGAAAUGAAUAAUAUGUGCAACAAAUUCCUUAACUUCUAAUUUUUUUAGGCAAGUUAUUACAAAAGAGUUUCAAGAAUUGGGAAACAAAAGGAUACAAGAAAGGAUUGAAUGCCAUUUGAUAUUUUAGUAUGAUGUAUACAUGCUCUUAUGUCUUUUGUCAUACAAGAUUAUGAUUAUUUAUAAGUUACAUGAAUUUUGUAGUCAUUCCCACCUUAAACCUUCAUGUGUGUGUUGCUAGUUCACCCACAAGCUUAAAGUUUGGUUGAGGACACUAAUGUUAACAAUAUUAACAUUUUUAUCUACUCACACUCUAUUCACUUCAUCUUCAUUAAGAAGGUUAAGAAUUCCCCCAAAAGAACACUGUACUUUUCCAUGGUACAGAAAAAUGUGACUGCUAGAUUGCUUUUUUAAUACAAAUGAUAAAAAAUCCGACUGUAAAUUACAGUAUUUUAAUUACUUUUACAUACUCAUUUAAUAGAUGUUGGUAUAGUGUAAAAGUAUACAGCCCUGUAAAUACACAUGAUGAUGGUCUUCACAGGCAAAUAAUAAAAUCAUUGUGAUCUUGCAAACUCACUGAAGGAGAAUGUUAUUGUUGAUUUUGUGAAUAGUCUUCCCUAGAUGAUAUUAGCACAGAACUGCUUCCCUCACUACCUCAACUGGUAUUACUUCAUAUCAUUUUGAGAAAAUAGCAAUCUGUACCAUGUUGGCUGCAUCUACUGUACUCUGAUUCUGGAUAUUAACAAUUUUUAGAUACUUAUUUCUUGUAAACUUCUCUUGUUCUGUAAGCUUUUAUAGUAAAUAGGGUCAUUAAAAAAUUGAAAGUACUGUAAAUAUAUUUUUCUAGUGGAUAUUUGUUUCCAGGUCAUGUUUUUAUUUAAGAUAUCACUAUCCAAAGCACUGCAUUGUCUAGGCUUUCAAAUUAAUAGUUUACUAUAAUUUUCACAACAAUUUCCCAAUAUAGUAUUUCCCAAUAGUAUAUUGGGAAAUAUAGUAUAUAAUAGUAUAUAGUAUUAUAUAAUACAAUAUAGUAUUUCCCAAUAUAGUAUAUUUCCCAAUUUCAACAAUAUUCCCAAUAUCCCAUUUCUAUAUUUUUGUAAACACCCGGUAACUAUCACUGAAUUACUACCGUUAUGAUAUUAUAAACAUUAUUAUGAAAUUGAUUUGUGUGCAUGCUGGUUUUUCUCUGGGUUACUUUUGUUCUUAUACAUUAACUGCUGUACAGGGACACAAGUUCUCUAGUCACAUUACCAAGCCAAAAAAUUGAAGGAAGCAGUCACCUCUGCCUGUCUUGUUUGAGCUAUGUUGUAUGUUAAAUAUUAAUAUGCAAAAGUCACUGGAGUUGAAUUCUUAGUCCUAUUAAUUUCUUGUGUACAUAUGAAGUCCCCUACACUAAAGCCAGUAAAUCAUAAGUGAUGCUUAAUUUGUUAUUUGUUGCAGUUUGAAUAAUGCUGUAAGCUUUUAUUGGCACAAGCAUAAUCAUUUUUGUUUACUGUAACACCAAAAUGUUUUACAAAUUAUUUUGGCGUAUGUUUAAAUAUACUAAUCAUUGUGUUCUCCAUAAGACCACACUGAUAAACAUGCAUGACUAAGAAUUCAGCUGCUAGAACUGACAUAGAUUAAAAAACAUAUCGUGAAGUAAAAUGGGAAUUUGUUGUAAAAAUUGUUGAAUAUUUCCUGCAAGAUCACAAAGACAUGUGAUGAGUUGAUAUCUCAGUAGUAGUUAGUGUCAUGGCAAGAAAUGCCAAGCACCAUCUCAGACCUUAAAGCUUAAUGAUAUACUACAAGUAUUUUAGAUCACUAUUUAAUAGUCACAAGUCACUGAAAUGAGCAGUGUUGCAUAAACUAUGAAGUUUCUGAGUUACAUGAACUUGUAUUAUCCUAUUUUGGCCUGUAAUCCUCCAAGGUGUGAAAACUUCCUUGUUCCAGCAUUGAAAGGUAUACAUGCAGCACUGGCAAACUACAUAUCUAGCUUGGCUUGCAUCACAUAACCAUCUACUUGUGAAGGCCACCACUAGCUUCAGAAGGCAAUAUACCAGAACUGGAAAGCUCCCACACUUUGCUUGAGAAGGUGCUACACCUGAUUAAUACUGAGCACCUGGCUUAGAAAGGUCCCAUUCCACGACUUGGAUGGUUGCUGUCUUGUAUGUGGGCUAUAUAAACAAUAAAAGCCAACCAGUCCCAA
rnacentral:misc_RNA from 1 species